rnacentral:rRNA from 1 species
UGGAGUGCUCAUACCGCGAGGGUCACACCCGUUCCCAUUCCGAAUACGGUAGUUAAGCCUCGCAGGGCCGAUGGUAGUGUUUUCGUAAGGAUAUGCUAGAGUAGGUCGGCGCUCCUU